UCCUGGAGCUGGUGCCCGGGGUUCCUUCCGAGCACUCGGGUUCAAGAGGAGAAAAGCCACGAGCUGGAAGGAGCCGUGUGGAUUUGGGAGGUCGCGGACCCUGCAGAGGGGGACCUGGGGGGCGGGGCUGACAGAGGAGACCGCACACCCCUGUGCUGCGGAAAGUGGGUGGUUCUAUGGGGCCCCCGGUGGCCUCACUCACUGUCCUCCGUCGCUCUGAAUGUUUCCCAGCCCCUCUGAACGCACACAGAAGGGAACGUGCGGGUCUCAAAAUCUCCCCGACUGGCUGCCCUGUCUGCCUGCUCCCCCUGGAUCAGGUGGGUGCUAAGGUCAAGGGCAGGGUCUGAGACCCCAGUGUGGUUGUCCUGGAGCAGAAACAGCUGUAGAACCCAGACCCAACAGAGGUGAGCAGGAGGAGAGCCACCAAGGCUUGACCCACAGGAGGCCCCCCUCCCAGAAGGCAGCUCUGUGGACGACAAGCCCGAGGGGACUCUCCCAACGCAGGUCUGGAACACUUGUCCUCCGAGGGCCCCAUGGGCCGGCCUCGCCUUGCUCCGGAAGGCACUCACUGACAGCCCUGUGCACGCACGUCUGUGCUGAACUGGGUGCCAGGCAGUGUCCCCCCAGGGAACGGGCGGGGCUGCGUCUGGACCUCUCCGUGACAGCCCGUCCCAGAAGCCGCCUCGGGGACUCUGGGGCAGCCCUCCGGGGACUUGGCACCUCAGUGCCUCCCAAGGGGGAAAAUAAAUCACGGAGUGAGUUAUGGGUUCUAUCUGCACAUUUGUCUCCUAUC